rnacentral:rRNA from 1 species
GAUGAACGCUGGCGGCGUGCUUAACACAUGCAAGUCGAACGGAGAAAAGAAGCUUGCCUCUUUUCUUAGUGGCGGACGGGUGAGUAACGCGUGGGUAACCUGCCCUAUGCAGGGGGAUAACGUUGGGAAACCAACGCUAAUACCGCAUAAUACAAAGAGCUUGCAUGAGCUUUUUGUCAAAGAUUUAUCGGCAUAGGAUGGACCCGCGUUGGAUUAGCUAGUUGGUGAGAUAACAGCCCACCAAGGCGACGAUCCAUAGCCGGCCUGAGAGGGUGAACGGCCACAUUGGGACUGAGACACGGCCCAAACUCCUACGGGAGGCAGCAGUGGGGAAUAUUGCACAAUGGGCGCAAGCCUGAUGCAGCGACGCCGCGUGAAGGAUGAAGGUUUUCGGAUCGUAAACUUCUAUCAGCAGGGAGGAACCAAAUGACGGUACCUGACUAAGAAGCCCCGGCUAACUACGUGCCAGCCGCCGCCGUAA